CAACCCUCGAGCACUGCUCGGCGUUGGGGCACGCGGCGCGCCUGGCGCCCGCGGCCCUCAAGUGCAGCGGCGGCCACCGAAGGGAUGCCCUCUGCGUAGUAGCAAGCCUCUCGCACCGGGAACCCUCGGGGGAGCCAGCCCCAAAUCCCAACGAGUCCCGCAAGUCGGGGAUCGCAA
rnacentral:misc_RNA from 1 species